UGCAAGUCGAACGGUAACNUUUCUAGCUUGCUAGAAGAUGACGAGUGNCGNNNNGGUGAGUAAUGCUUGGGAACUUGCCUUUGCGAGGGGGAUAACAGUUGGAAACGACUGCUAAUACCGCAUAAUGUCUACGGACCAAACGGGGCUUAGGCUCCGGCGCAAAGAGAGGCCCAAGUGAGAUUAGCUAGUUGGUAAGGUAACGGCUUACCAAGGCGGCGAUCUCUAGCUGUUCUGAGAGGAAGAUCAGCCACACUGGGACUGAGACACGGCCCAGACUCCUACGGGAGGCAGCAGUGGGGAAUAUUGCACAAUGGGGGGAACCCUGAUGCAGCCAUGCCGCGUGUGUGAAGAAGGCCUUCGGGUUGUAAAGCACUUUCAGUUGUGAGGAAAAGUUAGUAGUUAAUACCUGCUAGCCGUGACGUUAACAACAGAAGAAGCACCGGCUAACUCCGUGCCAGCAGCCGCGGUAAUACGGAGGGUGCGAGCGUUAAUCGGAAUUACUGGGCGUAAAGCGCACGCAGGCGGUUUGUUAAGCUAGAUGUGAAAGCCCCGGGCUCAACCUGGGAUGGUCAUUUAGAACUGGCAGACUAGAGUCUUGGAGAGGGGAGUGGAAUUCCAGGUGUAGCGGUGAAAUGCGUANAUAUCUGGAGGAACAUCAGUGGCGAANGCGACUCCCUGGCCAAAGACUGACGCUCAUGUGCGAAAGUGUGGGUAGCGAACAGGAUUAGAUNCCCUGGUAGNCCACACCGUAAACGCUGUCUACUAGCUGUGUGUGUCUUUAANACNUGCGUAGCGAANCUAACGCGCUNANUAGACCGCCNGGGGAGUACNGCCGCANGNNNAAAACUNNAAUGAANNGACGGGGGCCCNCACAAGCGGNGGANCNUGUGGUUUAANUCGNUGCANCNCNNA
rnacentral:rRNA from 1 species